UACGUAGGGGGCUAGCGUUGUCCGGAAUCAUUGGGCGUAAAGAGCGUGUAGGCGGCCCGGUAAGUCCGCUGUGAAAGUCGGGGGCUCAACCCUCGAAUGCCGGUGGAUACUGUCGGGCUCGAGUGCGGAAGAGGCGAGUGGAAUUCCCGGUGUAGCGGUGAAAUGCGCAGAUAUCAGGAGGAACACCAAUGGCGAAGGCAGCUCGCUGGGACGGUACUGACGCUGAGACGCGAAAGCGUGGGGAGCAAACAGG
rnacentral:rRNA from 1 species